rnacentral:rRNA from 1 species
AUUGAACGCUGGCGGCGUGCCUAAUACAUGCAAGUCGAACGAGUGGCGGACGGGUGAGUAACACGUGGGAACCUACCCAUCAGAGGGGGAUAACACUUGGAAACAGGUGCUAAUACCGCAUAAUGAUGGAUGGACCCGCGGUGCAUUAGCUUGUAGGUAAGGUAACGCCUUACCUAGGCGACGAUCCCUAGGUGGUCUGAGAGGAUGAUCAGCCACACUGGGAUUGAGACACGGCCCGGACUCCUACGGGAGGCAGCAGUGGGGAAUAUUGGACAAUGGGCGAAAGCCUGAUGCAGCCAUGCCGCGUGUAUGAAGAAGGCCUUCGGGUUGUAAAGUACUUUCAGUCGGGAGGCGUUACCGACAGAAGAAGCACCGGCUAACUCCGUGCCAGCAGCCGCGGUAAUAC